rnacentral:misc_RNA from 1 species
ACGAGCAUCAAGUUUGUGCGCUCGCAUUGUGUGUGGUCCGUCCUUUUCGCUACCGCUCUGCUCGGCACUCACUCACUCACACUGUUUAUUGGUUUUGGUGUUCGUAGCUGGCCUUGUUCGCUUCCAGGCAUGUCGUUCUCUCUCGAGUCGCCGCUGCGCACGCUCUUCGGGGCGGUGGAGAAGAAUUACCCGCAGUACCAUGACCACCUCGCGCAGGCGCACAAGAUGGCGCACCGGGCCUUCAAGGAGCUGGACAGGGCGUCGCCUUAUAUCGCCAAGGCGGCCAGCUACGCCUCCAUCGCUACGGAGCAGGCUGCCAGGUUUAAGUUGGAUGAGCUCGGUCCGAUGCUGCUCGGCCUCGCACUCUGCUUCUUCGGCGGCUCCUACACAAUGCUGAUCGCUGUCGUCGAGACAGUGCACCUGCUGUGUUGGGAGGAUCUCAAGCACUCCUUUCAGGUGCUAUACCACAACUACGAGCGGGCAGCGGAGCAGAACCGCAAGGACCACUGCAUCGACGCCGAUGGCGAAUGCGUGACAGAUGCGCAGGAGGUGUGCGACACCGACCUGCUCUCUCGUAAAGCUGCAUUGUUCCUCAAGUCGGUGGACAUUGAAGCUGCUGAGGCGGCGGGCCGCACCAUUGGCGCUGCAGCCAUGUCGGUGAUUGCGGCGCUGCGUGUGAAGCUUGCCCGGUCGCUUGCACUCGGCGGAUCGCUGGCGAGUAUGGCGAUGGCUUAUAUCCCGCUGGAGGCAACGCUGAAGGACGCGCUGCCAGUGGAGCACAAGAAGUGGUCCGGCGUCAUCGCGAAAACGGCGGCUAACGUGAUCGCCAUGACGCUGGCGUCCAUGAUGUGCGGUGCCAUUGGCAUGAUGCACUGCUGCAUCCGUGGCGCGCACAUGUUUGUACAGCACGCCGUACAUAUCGCGAAUGGUCACGGGCUACUGGAGGCCGACAUAACGCUGGAAAGCCCCAAGGCGAAGGCGCUGGCUGCCAUGGUCGCAUCGAUGGGGCUUCUCUGGCAGGUGACGCACACCGAUGCGAACCCCUUCCCGAUCAACAUCUUUCUCCUGCCCUUUACGGUGGCCGAGUACGUGCUAUUCUUUGUCGUGAACGGCUUCCUCUUCGCUACUUUGUAGUGGGGGUGGGCCCGGUAAGCACGAGAGCAGCCGAAGACCACGAAAAGCAGAGGAAGGGGGGCAUGCUUGUGUCUGCGUGUGCGUGAUGAUGAUACACAUGACAUGCCCUCCUCCCGUGCACUUGUUCACCUCCGCCUUUCCUGCCCUUUCCUGCCCUUUCCCUCCUCGUCCUGUUCCUCCUGUCCGUCGGUCUUCUCCGAGGGUGUGUCGCCAUGUCCGUGCGCCUUUUUCUGUCGUUAG